UAGGCUCUGUUUGGCAACUUGCCCAACAGUAACAAUUUCUGAUUUUUUGUUCCCAGAAUCAGUUUGGGACGAGAAACGCGUUUGGUAAAAUUUUUGUUCCCGGGAACAGUUUCGGACAAGGUUUGAGAAUCUAAAAAAAUUUGAUUCUCGGAAGAGAAUCAGAAAAGAGAAUCAAAACAAUAAAACCUUGUUUUUCUCUUUGAACAUCUCGGUUGCCAUUCGCCAUCACCCGCCGCCGUCCGCCGCCGCCUGCCGCCGGUCGCCGGUCCGCCGCCGGCCGCCGGUCCGGCGAGAUCGCCGGAGGCUCGCCAAGCCAGGGCGAGGUCCGGCGAGCUCGCCGGAGGCAAGCCCAGCCACCGGCGAGGCGCGAGGCCGAGCCUCGGCGGGGCUGGGCGAGCCUCGCCCAGCUGCCAGCGAGGCUCGGCCGACGAAGGCCGACCUCGCCGAGGGCUGGCGGCGCUCCGGUGAGCGUCGCCGGCCCUCGUCUGGCCGGUCGCCGGUCCGGCGACCGGCCAAAUGAAGAAGAAGAAUAGGAAAAAAGGGGAAAAAAAGAAAAAAGAAAAAGAAAAAAAGAAAAAAAAAGGAAAAAAGUAAAAAAGUAAAGAAAUUAUUUAAAAUUUAUUUAAAAAUCAAAAGAAAUUAUUUAAAAUUUAUUUAAAAAUCAAAAGAAAUUAAUUUGGAACAGAAUCAAUUAAUACGGUACCAAACGCAAUUCUAUUCCAGAAUCAAAAGUUUUGAACAGUUACCAAACACGUGUUUUUACUCAAAAUCAGUUCCCGGGAACAGAAUCAAAAAGAAUCAGUUCUGAUCAGAAUCAGCUCCCGGGAACAGAAUCGUUACCAAACGCGCCCUUA
rnacentral:lncRNA from 1 species